GCUAAAGUGGCAGAGUGGUCUAAUGCGGUAGACUUAAGAUCUACUAUCUUUUGAUGUCGUGAGUUCGAAUCUCACCCUUAGCA
rnacentral:tRNA from 1 species